rnacentral:rRNA from 1 species
UACGUAGGGUGCAAGCGUUGUCCGGAAUUAUUGGGCGUAAAGAGCUCGUAGGCGGUCUGUCGCGUCUGCUGUGAAAACCUAGGGCUUAACUCUGGGCGUGCAGUGGGUACGGGCAGGCUAGAGUGCGGUAGGGGGAGACUGGAAUUCCUGGUGUAGCGGUGAAAUGCGCAGAUAUCAGGAGGAACACCGGUGGCGAAGGCGGGUCUCUGGGCCGAUACUGACGCUGAGGUGCGAAAGCGUGGGGAGCAAACAGG